UUUUCAUGCUGAGGAAAGGGAGGAGGAGAGCGUGGAGGAGCGGGGGUCACAAGCCAGCAGAGCACAGCCUGAAGCCAGGCCACGACUUGGUGAAUAACGUCAGGCUCACACAUCUGACCUCCGGAAUGCUGAGGGCCCAGAGGACAGGCCUGGGAUUCUGCGGGUCUCCCUCUGAAAUCACCGAGGCUGCUUCGCUGAGAAAAGUCUUGGGCUUUCUAGGCUCUCCUGGCCCAACUUGGGUGGUGACGUGUGAAAUGGGCAUUCUUUGCCCACUGAUGAAGACCAGGUCUCCAUAGACACAGGAUCAAAAGAAGAAAGGCUCCAGAGUCUGAUGGCUCCGGAGUGGAUUCCUGGCUGGGUGACACUGGCCAGUACCUUGGCUUCCUCCUCCGUGCAUGAACAUCCCAUUCUGCAGGGUCUGGAAGGAGGAUAACCUGCAGAAUGCCCGGCAGCUGCUGGACGUCCAAUCAAUGCUCCUGACCACCUCCCAAGUCAGCGAACAAGAGGUUUACUCUGCCAGGGCUAGGACCUGGGCGCGUUGGAGGUUUUGCUGCCUGUUAGUCAAAGAAAGCUGUCAAUUAGGAACUGGAAGAUGCCGCUUGCAGGGACCCAGUGACGGUCUGUCCUGUGAAGAGCCUCCCCAGCUUAUCCUUGAGCAAGUAAGCCCACGGGUCACCUACUGUGUUCACUUCCACAGAAAGAAUUUUAUAAACACUUACCCCCAUUCUGGAAUUUGGUGUUUUGACACUUGGAGCUUACUAAUGGUUGUUUCCAGUUUGGUGCUAUUAUGAAUAAUGCCGCUACUGACUCACACAUCUUUGCGUAGACGUAUGUUUUCGUUUCUCCAUGGGGGAUACCUAGGAGUGGAAUUGCUGGAUCACAUGGAUUUCCUACAUAUAGAAUCAUGUCAUCUGAGAAUGAAGACAGUGUACUUCUUCCUUUCCAGUCUGGGUGCCUCUUGCCUGUUUCUUGUUCCUGUGAGGCUUGUUCCUGUUUGGGGGUGUCUGCCUGAAUUGUUCUUCCCCCAGCUCUUCCAUGGCUCACUCCCUCACCUCCUUAGGUCUUUACUCAAAUGUCAACUUCUUGCCAAGGCCUUCUUGGAACUCCCUACUUAAAUUGAACCCCUCCUCACACCCCACACCUCUAACCCUUUUUCUUGCUUUGUAUUUCUUCACAGCACUGACCAUCAUAGACUUUAUACCUCUCCCUUCUCAAGAUGGUCCUGAGAGUUCCAAGAACAAAUAAUAUGCCUGGAAGGAGGGCCUGAGCUGCUGCUUAGCUAGGGUUGGAUGAAGGAGGGUCCAGAAGGGGCAUUCUCUGGGGCACUCAGACCCCUGCUCCACCCUUCCAGGCUGGGAGGGGAAGGGUCUCCAUGCAAAUGGGAACACAUUCAGGAGGCAGUAGGUGGGGGUCCCCGGGGAAGCUCAUAUACAUCCAUGCCUGCCUAAACAGCCCAGCCACACCCAGACAGGGCCCAACCUCGACAAGGGGUCAACCUGAAGCUUGUUUGCACUUCAUUUCACCUGAAUAGAAAAUGCUGGCACUCAGGAGAUGGGGAGGACAGAGGUAGGCUCCCAGUGACUCCCCCAGCUGCCGACCCGCUAGAGGUGAUCCUGCCUUUGGAGACUCCACUCUGCCCCUGGCAACCAGGAAAAUACAUUCCCUAUUUGCAUGGGGUUAAGGAACGGGAUCUCUUUACACCCCCUCCCUUAUCUGGAGCUUGUCCCAGAAACUUGACUGGGGUUAGGCGUGUGUGUGUGCGGGGGUGAUCCCUGAGCCCAGUCUGAGCAUAGGUGGGUGGAGGCUGCAGUGGAAAGAGCCUCCAGCUGGAUGUCAGACAAUUCUGGGUCCCUGUCCUGCUCUGUGUCUUUGCAGCAGAAUGAACUUAAGGCCUAAGAGUCAAGCCGUGGGUGGGUUUCCACCUCCAUCAAAUAGGCCUGAGGAAGCCCCCUCACCCUGGGUGGGAGGUUUGCUCCCCUUCUCUGGGUCUCCAUUUCUUCAUCUGUACACCCAGUGUAAGAAUACAUCCUCCGUACAGCCACUAUGGAGGACAGUAUGGAAGUUCCUUAAAAAACUAAAAAUAGAGCUACCAUACGACCCAGCAAUCCCACUACUGGGCAUAUACCCUGAGAAAACCAUAAUUCAAAAACAGUCAUGUACCACAAUGUUCAUUGCAGGUCUAUUUACAAUAGCCAGGACAUGGAAGCAACCUAAGUGUUCAUUGACAGAUGAAUGGAUAAAGAAGAUGUGAUAUAUAUACAUUGGAAUAUUACUCAGUCGUAAAAAGAAAUGAAAUUGAGUUAUUUGUAGUGAGGUGGAUGGACCUAGAGUCUGUCAUACAGAGUGAAGUAAGUCAGAAGGAGAAAAACAAAUACCAUAUGCUAACACAUAUAUAUGGAAUCUAAGAAAAAAAAAUGUCAU